GCGUAACAGCUCACUGGUCGAUGCACUUAUGCGCCGAAAAUGUAUCGGGGCAAAGCGGUAUACCGCAGCCGUGAAUUCGGUCCGGAUUCGUCCGGACCCAGUGGUAGAGGAGCGUUCCGUUCAGCUGUGAAGCGAGAUCUGCGAGGACUCGUGGAGCGUACGGAAGUGAAAAUGUUGGCAUGAGUAACUACUUGGCAGGCGAAAAACCUGCCCGCCGAAUCCCCAAGGUUUCCCACGCAACGGUCAUCGGCGUGGGGUUAGUCGGUCCUAAGGCCAGGCCGAAAGGCGUAACCGAUGGACAUCAGGUUAAUAUUCCUGAACUUCAUGGAGAUCGAUCAGGGUUGCAGAUUGAUAGUCUGACAGGCCUCUGGUCCCGCAAGGGAUUAUGUCUGUUGGAAAGGAUUUCUGCCGCCUAGGCGCGGCGUGACGGAACAGGAGGACUGGAGCGUCCGCAAUGACUGGACGCGGAACACGUAAGGCGUUGAGAUCGGUAGGAAAAUCCGCCGGUUGAGUCGAGCGUGGAUCCCAAAUGCAUCCCUCGCGGGGUGAGAGUUCAAAUCCUUCAGUUCCCAAGAAAACCGUCGCGACCGAGAGCUUCAUGAAACCGUACCGCAAACCAACACCGGUGGGGUGGUCGAGUAGACCCAGGCGAACGGGUCAUCUAGCGUUAAGGAACUCGGCAAUACAGCGUCCGUAACUACGGGAUAAGGACUGCCGGCACAGCAAUGUGACCGGCCGCAGCUAAAGAGCUCUGGAGACUGUUUACCAAAAGCACAGGUCCCUGCGAAGCCGUAAGGCCAUGUAUAGGGGCUGUUGCCUGCCCAGUGUCAGAAGGUCACGGGAGGAGGUUUACGCUUCCGACCUAAGCCCUGAUGAACGGCGGCCGUAACUAUAACGGUCCUAAGGUAGCGAAAUUCCUUGUCGGGUGGUCGUAAUCACUUGCCCGAACGACGAGCAAUCGUCGGCACUAAGGAACCAGAGAGUUCAGUUGUUAAAUGCCGAACUAUUCUUACCGAAUGAAUGACAGUGAGAUAUGAAUCGAUCGUUUCCGAUUAGUGAAAAACAUCGCUAUAUGCUGGAAUCUCCGUCGAAUCCCCUAUGCCGUAAGGUACGGGGUGCGGACAAUCAGCAGGAAACCGCGCAAGCGGGCUCCUCAGAGACUACACGCGAUGCUCCUCGCAAGAGGAUGAUGAGAUAGUCCGAUCCCUGCAGCGAUGCAGGGGCGCCAACAUCGAGGCGCGCUAAAAAACAACGUCUCGCGAAGAGCGAGGGUAGUGCGCUCCAGGCUUCGGCCGGAGUCAUUGGCUCACCACCAAUGGGAACCUCACUUGAAGUUCCGACCCGCACGAAUGGUACAACGAUCGGAGCACUGUCUCAACGCUAGGCCCGGUGAAAUUUCAGUGACGGUGCAAAUGCCGUCUUGAUCACGGAAGGACGAAAAGACCCUAUGAAGCUUCACUGUAAGCUGGCAUUGUGUCGUUGGUCUGCGUGUGCAGAAUAGGUGGGAGACUUUGAAGCCGGGGCGUUAGCCUCGGUGGAGUCACCGUUGAGAUACCACCCUCGAAUUCCGACGAUACUCACCUUGUCUACGAAACGUAGCAAGGGACCGUGCUUGCUGGGCAGUUUAACUGGGGCGGUUGCCUCCUAAAGCGUAACGGAGGCGCGCAAUGGUUGACUAGCACCGGAUGGAAAUCGGUGCGGUAGUGUAAUCGCACAAGUCAGCCUGACUGUGAGACUAACAAGUCGAGCAGAGACGAAAGUCGGCGAUAGUGAUCCGGCAACCUGAGCAUCUUGUAUGCUCUCACCACGUGGGUGGGUUGUCGCUCAACGGAUAAAAGUUACUCUAGGGAUAACAGGCUGAUCAGUCCCAAGCGCCCACAGCGACGGACUGGUUUGGCACCUCGAUGUCGGCUCAUCGCAUCCUGGGACUGGAGAAGGCCCCAAGGGUCCGGCUGUUCGCCGGUUAAAGCGGUACGCGAGCUGGGUUCAAAACGUCGUGAGACAGUUUGGCCUCUAUCCUCCGUGGUCCAUUGGAUACGUGAAAAGAGUUGCUCCUAGUACGAGAGGACCGGAGUGAACGAACCUCUGGUGACCCUGUUGUCGCGUCAGCGGCAGCGCAGGAUAGCUAUGUUCGGAAGGGAUAACCGCUGAAGGCAUCUAAGCGGGAAGCCCACUUUAAGAUGGCGUAUCCCCAUAAGCCCCCCGGAAGACGACCGGGUAGAUCGGCCACAAGUGUACGUGCAGCAAUGCAUUCAGCUGAGUGGUACGAACGGGCAAUUGAACAUUGUUC
rnacentral:rRNA from 1 species